UGAUAUGACGUGCUUGCACUGAAUUGACGUUGGAUUACCAGUGAGCGGCGGACGGGUGAGUAACACGUGGGCAACCUGCCUUGAAGCGGGGGAUAACAUCUGGAAACAGGUGCUAAUACCGCAUAACAACGAAAACCACAUGGUUUUCGUUUCAAAGAUGGUUUCGGCUAUCACUUCAGGAUGGGCCCGCGGUGCAUUAGCUAGUUGGUAAGGUAACGGCUUACCAAGGCAAUGAUGCAUAGCCGAGUUGAGAGACUGAUCGGCCACAAUGGAACUGAGACACGGUCCAUACUCCUACGGGAGGCAGCAGUAGGGAAUCUUCCACAAUGGGCGCAAGCCUGAUGGAGCAACACCGCGUGAGUGAAGAAGGGUUUCGGCUCGUAAAGCUCUGUUGUUGGAGAAGAACGUGCGUGAGAGUAACUGUUCACGCAGUGACGGUAUCCAACCAGAAAGUCACGGCUAACUACGUGCCAGCAGCCGCGGUAAUACGUAGGUGGCAAGCGUUAUCCGGAUUUAUUGGGCGUAAAGCGAGCGCAGGCGGUUGCUUAGGUCUGAUGUGAAAGCCUUCGGCUUAACCGAAGAAGGGCAUCGGAAACCGGGCGACUUGAGUGCAGAAGAGGACAGUGGAACUCCAUGUG
rnacentral:rRNA from 1 species